GGGAAGUUUUCCGUCAAUGGGCGGAAAGCCUGACGGAGCAAUGCCGCGUGGAGGUGGAAGGCCUACGGGUCGUCAACUUCUUUUCUCGGAGAAGAAACAAUGACGGUAUCUGAGGAAUAAGCAUCGGCUAACUCUGUGCCA
rnacentral:rRNA from 1 species